rnacentral:rRNA from 1 species
AUACAGAGGGUGCGAGCGUUAAUCGGAAUUACUGGGCGUAAGCGCGCGUAGGCGGCUUAUUAAGUCAGAUGUGAAAUCCCCGGGCUCAACCUGGGAACUGCAUCUGAUACUGGUAAGCUAGAGUUUUGGAGAGGGAAGUAGAAUUUCAGGUGUAGCGGUGAAAUGCAUAGAGAUCUGAAGGAAUACCAGUGGCGAAGGCGACUUCCUGGCCAAAAACUGACGCUGAGGUGCGAAAGCGUGGGUAGCAAACGGGAUUAGAUACCCUAGUAGUCC